GAGAAGCUGGAGUGCUACCAGACCUCUGAGGAAAGUCUCGAAGUUGAGCGUCGCCGUAUGAAGGAGACCUGUGAGGCCACGGAAGCUCGAGCUGCCAAGCUGGAACUCACACGCGUGGGGUUGGGGGGAGAGCUGCAGCAUGCCCAGCUCUGAGCCACAGAGAUGGAGUCAGAGGUCAGCUCACUGCAGGAACGCCUUAACAAACUCCGCAGAGAACUGAGAGACAGUGAAGAGCGUGCUUCCCUCCUGAAGGUUGAGGGUGAGAGGUUGGCAACUGCCUUGGCACACACAGAACUGCAGGAGAGCCAGUUGAGGGAGCAACUGCAGGCCAUGGCUGCAUCCCUGACUGAAAGCAAUGCUGCUGCAGGAACAGCACAGGAUCAGGCUGCUCAGCUGCAGCAAGUUCUCACAGCCAGCGAACAUGACUGGAAGAUGCUGCAGGAAAGGUUGGAUAAGACAUGGGAGGCUCUGACUUAAACAGUAGGAAGCAAAAUCAUGGGUUGAGUGAGAGACUACAGAUCCUGCAGAGAAGCCAGGAAGAGUCUGAACUCAGGGUCUCUGAACUGGAUAAACAGAAACGAGGCCUUCAGGAGGUUAUGCACACACACAUACUCUUAAAAUUUACACAAUGUUUUGAAGGGUUAGUUUGCCUAAAAUAAAAAUUCUGUUAUCAUUUACUCACCCUCAUUUUGUUCCAAACCCAUAAGACCAGCAUUUGUUCAUCUUAACUUGAAUAUCUGUGUGGGUGUGUAUAUGGUUUUGUGUGUACAGUUUAUUUAUAUAUAAAACUUGUUAAUAUAAUUUGGUCUGUGGAGGCAAAAGCAAUAAACAUAUACAUUCUUAAUUUCAAGCAAACUUUUUUUUGCAUUUUGUCACCAUUGUGCGCCCCUUUUCCUCUGUCUCUCAGUAGAACCAUUUCUGUGCCUGAAAAAAAACACAAAAUUAAAAAUAACAUAGAACCAAAUGUGUCAGUUGAACGAAAUUCAAUUCAAUUCUCACACAGCAUCGUACCUUAACCAAAUACAAACACACUUAGUGUUAUCUCUUCCUUGUUAAGCUGAGGAAACCAUGGUGAUCUACACCAGUUGUGGUCUGGACAGUCAUGUAGACGGUGUCUAUUCUA
rnacentral:lncRNA from 1 species